rnacentral:rRNA from 1 species
UAGGGAAUCUUCGGCAAUGGGGGGAACCCUGACCGAGCAACGCCGCGUGAGUGAAGAAGGUUUUCGGAUCGUAAAGCUCUGUUGUUAAGGAAGAACGAGUGUGAGAAUGGAAAGUUCAUGCUGUGACGGUACUUAACCAGAAAGGGACGGCUAACUACGUGCCAGCAGCCGCGGUAAUACGUAGGUCCCGAGCGUUGUCCGGAUUUAUUGGGCGUAAAGCGAGCGCAGGCGGUUAGAAAAGUCUGAAGUGAAAGGCAGUGGCUCAACCAUUGUAGGCUUUGGAAACUGUUUAACUUGAGUGCAGAAGGGGAAAGUGGAAUUCCAUGUGUAGCGGUGAAAUGCGCAGAGAUAUGGAGGAACACCAGUGGCGAAGGCGACUCUCUGGUCUGUAACUGACGCUGAGGUUCGAAAGCGUGGGUAGCAAACAGG